AAACUAGUUAUUUGGUUGAUCGAAGAGUAGAAUACAAAAGUACGCGACCGGUUGUGAAUAAUCAAACGAAUCACGACGUGCGAUUAUGUGGUGAUGCGACAGGCAUUCAAAUACACUGGAUAUGCAACCUAUAAUCAAAUUUAAGGCAGAAUCAAUUUGGGAACGUUGAUAAUGGUACAAAUUUCUCUACGUUUGACGAUGUAGCAAAAGAAGCCACAUCGACUUUCGCGCUUCCAAUCGACAACAAUUAUUGUAACCGCAUUUCGUUCAACUUAAUUAAAGUUCUCGUUGAUCUCCGUAUUUGGAUUCUAUUCUACGCCGCUAUCCGCGAGAUAGCUGUGUUACGUAAUCUGUGGAUAACAAUCGCUCGCUCGUGACAGACUCUCGCGCAACUCGGAGCAAUUCACACAAGUAACAUUGUAAUAAACGUUUCUGUCAUAAGUGGAGUGUAGAUGAAACAAAAUUACACUGCGAGUACACGAUUCCGAAAUUAGCUCUACUUUACGCUAAUACUGGGACGCUUUGUAAAAUAACGUAAACUCAAAAAAAGCUAUGUGCGACGAACCUGUCAAUGUGCACUGAUGGUAAUACCGAUCACAAUACUUCUGAUUUAAACAACUUUAAGAGAACUAUCGAAUAUCGAAUUGUAUUGUGUUAGCUCGCGAUUUGAUAAGCGAUCACUCGCGCGCACUACUUGAAUGACGACUGAACUAUGAAGACUAGUCCUCGUUGAAUUUGCUACGAAAUCCUGAACAAGCCUCCCACGCAACCGACUUGUAGUGAAAGGGACAACAGAGAACAGCGCCGGAUAAGCGUACCUUCGACUCGCGUUAAAUCCUGUUCACAUCAUUGACGCGACUUGUAUUCACGCGGCAAAACGAUCUUGGCAAUGAGAGACAGAUAUCAUCUCGCGUUUUCCUCUUACCGUCUAUGUCGUUUGCCGCUAUAAAUGUCAGCAUGCAAAAGCGAACAAUGGAAAAACACGAAUAAAAAAGAAGAAAAUAAAAAUACUUAUAAUUUAA